rnacentral:ncRNA from 1 species
GUGUGACGUGAAAGGCCGAAAAGUCAGCACUCCUUGACAAGGAUGGAAGAGGCCCUGGGGUCUGACAACGCGCAUGCGCAUGCGCAUGCGCUGAAGGCACAGCCGCCCACUGCCUGGCAUCUAACUGUGGCUUAGCGAUUUUUU